rnacentral:rRNA from 1 species
GACGAACGCUAGCGGCGUGCCUAACACAUGCAAGUCGAGCGAUGAAGCCCUUCGGGGUGGAUUAGCGGCGGACGGGUGCGUAACACGUGGGUAACCUGCCUCAAAGUGGGGGAUAGCCUUCCGAAAGGAACAUUAAUACCGCAUAACAUGCUUUAAUCGCAUGGUUGAAGCAUCAAACGAGGAAUAGGCUUUGAGAUGGACCCGCGACGCAUUAGCUAUUUGGUGAGGUUACGGCUCACCAAGACGAAGAUGGGUAGCCGACCUGAGAGGGUGAUCGGCCACAUUGGAACUGAGACACGGUCCAGACUCCUACGGGAGGCAGAAGUGGGGAAUAUUGCGCAAUGGAGGAAACUAUGACGCAGCAACGCCGCGUGAAUGAUGAAGGCCUUAGGGUUGUAAAGUUCUGUCUUCUGGGACGAUAAUGACGGUACCAGAGGAGGAAGCCACGGCUAACUACGUGCCAGAAGCCGCGGUAA